rnacentral:tRNA from 1 species
AAAAUCUUAUGUUAAUUAAACAAAUAGCCUUCAAAGCUAUAAUCAAAAGUAAACCCUUUUAGAUUUUA